UACGUAGGGGGCUAGCGUUGUCCGGAAUCAUUGGGCGUAAAGCGCGUGUAGGCGGUCCGGUAAGUCCGCUGUGAAAGUCGGGGGCUCAACCCUCGAAUGCCGGUGGAUACUGUCGGGCUAGAGUGCGGAAGAGGCGAGUGGAAUUCCGGGUGUAGCGGUGAAAUGCGCAGAUAUCAGGAGGAACACCUAUUGCGAAGGCAGCUCGCUGGGACGUAACUGACGCUGAGACGCGAAAGCGUGGGGAGCAAACAGG
rnacentral:rRNA from 1 species